CACCGCGGUUAUACGAAAGGCUCAAGUUGCUAAGCCUCGGCGUAAAGUGUGGUUAAGGAAAUUUUUAACUAAAGUCGAAUGCCUGUAAAAGCAGUGACACGCUAACUAAGGUAAGAAGCCCCCCACGAAAGUAACUUUAUUAAACCCUGAACCCACGUAAGCUAUGACUA
rnacentral:rRNA from 2 species